GUACUUGCUUCUGCAGCACAUAUACUAAAAUUAGAAUGAUACAGAGAAGAGUCGCGUGGCCCCUGUGCAAGGAUGACACGCAAAUUUGUUAAGCAUUUCAUAUUUCC
rnacentral:snRNA from 1 species